rnacentral:rRNA from 1 species
GCCUACGGGGGGCAGCAGUAGGGAAUUUUCGUCAAUGGGCGCAAGCCUGAACGAGCAAUGCCGCGUGAACGAGGAAGGUCUUCGGGUCGUAAAGUUCUGUUGAAGGGGAAAAAGAGCGGAGAGAGGAAGUGGUCUCCGAUUGAUAUUACCCUUCGAGGAAGUCACGGCUAACUACGUGCCAGCAGCCGCGGUAAUACGUAGGUGGCGAGCGUUAUCCGGAAUGAUUGGGCGUAAAGGGUGCGUAGGCGGCCUGCUAAGCCUGGAGUGAAAGGUACCGGCUCAACCGGUACAGGCUCUGGAAACUG